rnacentral:rRNA from 1 species
UGGGGAAUAUUGCGCAAUGGGCGGAAGCCUGACGCAGCAACGCCGCGUGCGGGAUGACGGCCUUCGGGUUGUAAACCGCUUUCAGCAGGGACGAAGCGUGAGUGACGGUACCUGCAGAAGAAGCACCGGCCAACUACGUGCCAGCAGCCGCGGUGAUACGUAGGGUGCGAGCGUUGUCCGGAAUUAUUGGGCGUAAAGAGCUCGUAGGUGGUUGAUCGCGUCGAAAGUGAAAUCUCAGGGCUUAACCCUGAGCGUGCUUUCGAUACGGGUCGGCUAGAGGAAGGUAGGGGAGAAUGGAAUUCCUGGUGGAGCGGUGGAAUGCGCAGAUAUCAGGAGGAACACCAGUGGCGAAGGCGGUUCUCUGGACCUUUCCUGACGCUGAGGAGCGAAAGCGUGGGGAGCAAACAGGCUUAGAUACCCUGGUAGUCCACGCCGUAAACGGUGGGUACUAGGUGUGGGGGGACAUUCCACGUUCUCCGUGCGUAGCUAACGCAUUAAGUACCCCGCCUGGGGGAGUACGGCCGC